UCUGUGUUUUUUUGUGAUUUUUUUUCAUAAUGAUAAUGUUCUCGAAGUCAAUGAUGAUCGACUUCAAUUUUUUAUUUAAUCUUAUCCACCAAAUACUCUCCAAUGCGUACACCGUGAUGCAAUUUAGCAUUUGAUAAUCUGUUUGGCGGACAUUAAAACUAUUUUAAUGAUAAGUAAGUGUAACCACCAUUUCAAUACCGGUCUAUUGUAGUUUUUGUCCUCAAACACGCACGUGUAAUUGCUAAGGUGGAGAACCGCGAUAUGACAUAUUAACACUUUAUACUUAAAAAAAAGAAAUGGUUAUUGUGGGACACUAUCGCAAUAUAUGAUUUGUUGUUUCCAAAAAGAUUAAUUUCCAAACUUUAAAGUUAAUUUGUAAAUGUAGGUGAGUCAUUUUCUUUGCCACCAAUAACAACAAGAAAAUGACUAGGAGGGGGUGUAAUUUUGAAAUUGAUUCAUAAAUUUUUACUAGCACCUGAUUGCGUGAUUCUGCCAUAUCCGAUAUAAAUUGUUUGUUAAAGGGACUGGUUCACGAUUUUUGAAAAAAAUACUUUUCAUAUUUGAUGUCAAACAUUAAAAAUAUAACUGCUUGAUUGAUGACAGCCAAAAUUUUGAACUUCUGAACGCAAGAAUAAAAGCAAUAUUUUAGCCUUAAAUCUGUGUUAUGUAAACGAAGACUCGAGUCUGUUCAUGUAUACAAACAAACCAGUGAAAUGUUAAUUUUGUAAUAUAAAGCAUCCUAAUUUUGCAAAGUUACAAAUUUUAACUUUUGGAUGACACAUUUUACCCCCAAAAUGCUUGAAAUGUGAAAGAUAUAAUAAACUUAAAUCGAUAUCCAUUUCUUUUGAAAAUUUCGUAAAUAUAACAUACCGCAAUCUUUGUUUACAAAACAAAGAAUAAACUCUCUAAAAUGAGCUUCUGUAAUGAUGUAUAACCUUGAUUUUUAUGUGAACUCUUUUAAACACAUUAGACAAUAGAUUUUGAUCAUUAAAAGUGAAAAACAAAAUUUUGGGGGAAAUCGUGAAUCAGUCCCAUUAAUACUAAAGAGAUGUUUUUAAAAAUAUACCAUACUAAAAGUGCUAACUUGCUAAAAUGCAUGCAAACAUAUGUUGAAAUCGCCCUUCAUAAUUAUUACUGUAAAUGUAUUUUACAUUCGAUCACUUUAUAUACACCUCCUCCGCCUUUUUGUGUGUAUGUACGAAAUAGAAUACAAUAGAUUUAUUGAAAGCAGUACGGGGGUCCUCGAGGGCAUACACAUAAAGAGCAACAUACAAAAGAAGAAAGUCAAAAUUGAUAGCUGUAACAUGUUGAUAAAAAAGAAAGAAAACGAAACUGACUACAGAUGUAUGAACCCCGCCCCUAUAUAUAUUACCUGGAAACAGACGCUGUACGUGAAUGAUUAUAUUAAACAAAUACCUAUAUACAUUUUAAACCAGUGAUUUGACGUGACGGAUAAAGUCAGCACACAUUGAAGUGUCAUCUAUUUCUUCCUCCUGAAUCUCAUCAAACAUAAUGGAUGACAGAGCAGCUUUUCAUUCAGACGUAUAUUUAGAGAGAUUUUGUGAGCUCGUCUUCAUUACUGUGAUGAAUGAGAGGUAGUUUUCGGUACAAUCAUUAACGGGAUAUUAUUUCAUUACAAGGAUAGGUACAUAAUAAACACUGAAAAUCACACUCAUACGACACACGCGUUUGAUAGAUAGGUUCUGUGGUUUUCUAGGUGUUCAUGCUGUUUUAAAAACUUAGUACCGUCUUACGAAACGGGGUUGUAAUUAAAUCAGGUGAAUGUAAGAGACAUGGAUAGAUUACACAAUUUCUAGAUCCCCAGGCAUGUUCCAUUAGAUAUUCAUCGCUCUACAUGCACCUGUUACGGAAAAAAGUCAGGAAAACAAGACCUCGGGCGGACACACGGACGGACGGACCAAUCCAGCUGAAAUGCGAAGUAAACUUGUAUUCAUGAGGAAAAGCGGGAUAAAGUGUUGAAAAGUCGUAUGUUUUGAUGCCGUUGAAUUUAACACAAUUUUGUGAUUUCAUUUACUAAAAACUUCCGUUGAAUGUUUGAGAAUCCACAUUUGAUUUACAACACAAAACGUCUGAAGUUUCUCAUUCACAUCAGAUAAUAUUUACGCGAAGAGUAGAGUAAAGGUAAGGGUUUGGUAGUCAGACAUUCAUGGAGACUGUGUUCUUUUCUUUUGUAAGGCAUUUGUGAAAUUUUGGAAUGCAAUAUAGGUACGGUAACUAGAAGUCAUUCGCAACAUCAAUAUAUUGGACUAAGUAUGUGUUUGAAAAUGAAACGUGAUUUUGGAGAAUUUUCAAAUUGUCUUUUCAAAGGGAACUUCGUGUACAAGUUAGAUUACCAAAUGUGAAAUUAAAGCCACGAUCUUCUAAAUUACAGCAGUGAUAAUGAUCAGACAGUGUCGCUACAAGCUUUGUCAGCUGGAGCUAAUACAUAAUUCGCAUGUAACAUAUCUGAUUCUCUCAUCACUUCUGGUUUACUCAACAAAGGAUAGACGGUACACCAGCUUGUUUUUACGUGUCUAAUACGAGGUUUUAAUACUCCUGUUAUCCUCUUUAUCCACGCUGAGAAAGUGUCAAGAAUCAUUAGAAUAUUUCACAUGCACCUCCAAUUGUUUUAUUUGUGAAAAUGACCAAAUAGUUUGAAAGAUACAAUAUACCUA